UCCGGUUUGGCACCGGCAGUCCUCCCAGAGUCCCCGACUUCACGCGCUGGCAACUGGGUGCGGGGGUUGCGCUCGUUGCGGGACUUAACCCAACAUCUCACGACACGAGCUGACGACAGCCAUGCAGCACCUGUCUCACGGUUCCCGAAGGCACCCCUGCAUUUCUGCAAGGUUCCGUGGAUUCAAGAGUAGGUAAGGUUCUUCGCGUUGCAUCGAAUUAAACCACAUGCUCCACCGCUUGUGCGGGCCCCCGUCAAUUCCUUUGAGUAUUAACCUUGCGGCCGUACUCCCCAGGCGGAGAACUUAACGCGUUUGCUGCGAUACUAAGAAGUCUAAGCUCCCUAACAUCUAGUUCUCAUCGUUUACGGCGUGGACUAC
rnacentral:misc_RNA from 1 species